UGAGGAAUAUUGGGCAAUGGACGCAAGUCUGACCCAGCCAUGCCGCGUGAAGGAUGAAGGCGUUCUGCGUUGUAAACUUCUUUUAUCUGGGAAGAAAAGCAUUGUUUCUACGAUGUCCGACGGUACCAGAGGAAUAAGCACCGGCUAACUCCGUGCCAGCAGCCGCGGUAAUACGGAGGGUGCAAGCGUUAUCCGGAUUCACUGGGUUUAAAGGGUGUGUAGGCGGGUAUAUAAGUCAGUGGUGAAAUCUCCGGGCUCAACCCGGAAACUGCCAUUGAUACUAUGUGUCUUGAAUUUUGUUGAGGAGGGCGGAAUAUGUCAUGUAGCGGUGAAAUGCUUAGAUAUGACAUAGAACACCGAUUGCGAAGGCAGCUCUCUAAGCAAACAUUGACGCUGAGGCACGAAAGCGUGGGGAUCAAACAG
rnacentral:rRNA from 1 species